UGGCGAACGGGUGAGUAACACGUGGGUAACCUGCCCAUCAGAAGGGGAUAACACUUGGAAACAGGUGCUAAUACCGUAUAACACUAUUUUCCGCAUGGAAGAAAGUUGAAAGGCGCUUUUGCGUCACUGAUGGAUGGACCCGCGGUGCAUUAGCUAGUUGGUGAGGUAACGGCUCACCAAGGCAACGAUGCAUAGCCGACCUGAGAGGGUGAUCGGCCACACUGGGGACUGAGACACGGCCCAGACUCCUACGGGAGGCAGCAGUAGGGAAUCUUUCGGGCAAAUGGGACGAAAAGUCUGACCCGAGCAAACGCCGCGUGAAGUGAAGAAAGGUUUUUCGGGUUCGUAAAAACUUCUGG
rnacentral:rRNA from 1 species